rnacentral:rRNA from 1 species
AAUCAACGCUGGCGGCGUGCCUCAGACAUGCAAGUCGAACGCGAAAGUUUCCUUCGGGAGAUGAGUAGAGUGGCGCACAGGUGAGUAACACGUGAGUAAUUUACCUUCGGGUGGGGAAUACUAACCGGAAACGGUUGUUAAUACCGCAUAAUGCAGCGGCAUCAAUGAUGACAGUUGUUAAAGCGGGGGAUUGGAGCAAUCCGACCUCGCGCCUGAAGAGAAGCUCGCGGCAGAUUAGCUAGUUGGUAAGGUAAUGGCUUACCAAGGCGACGAUCUGUAACCGGCCUGAGAGGGCGGUCGGUCACAC